rnacentral:rRNA from 1 species
CAGUAGCCGCGGGAACACGUAGGGUGCGAGCGUUAAUCGGAAUUACUGGGCGUAAAGCGUGCGCAGGCGGUUCGUUAAGACAGAUGUGAAAUCCCCGGGCUUAACCUGGGAACUGCAUUUGUGACUGGCGAGCCAGAGUAUGGCAGAGGGGGGUAGAAUUCCACGUGUAGCAGUGAAAUGCGUAGAGAUGUGGAGGAAUACCGAUGGCGAAGGCAGCCCCCUGGGCCAAUACUGACGCUCAUGCACGAAAGCGUGGGGAGCAAACAGGAUUAGAUACCCGCGUAGUCCCUGUCUCUUAUAC